rnacentral:rRNA from 1 species
GUUUUUUUAGAAAUAAAUUUAAUUUACAAAUUUUUGAUUUUUUGGUUAUUUAUUUAAUUGAAAAAUUUAUUUAUUUGAAUAUUUUAAGGGAUAAGCUUUAAAAUAAAUUAUUAAAAAUUAAUAGUAGUAAUAUAAAAUGUAUGCUUAGAAUUAGCAAUCAUUAUAAAGUUUGUUAUAAAUUAUUUUAUAAAUUAUAUUAUUUAUUAUAUUUUAAUUUAUUUAUAAAAAUUUUUUUAUUAAUUAAAUAUAAAAAGGAAUAAUGAUAGAAUUAGUAUAUUUUUUUGUUUAUGUAAUUUUAUGUGAUAAGUUUAUAUAAAGAACUCGGCAAAAAUUUUACCCGCCUGUUUAACAAAAACAUGUCUUUUUGAGUUAUUUUUAAAGUCUGACCUGCCCACUGAAGUUUAUUUAAAUGGCCGCAGUAUUCUAACUGUGCAAAGGUAGCAUAAUCAUUAGUCUUUUAAUUGAAG